UACGUAGGGGGCAAGCGUUGUCCGGAUUUAUUGGGCGUAAAGAGCGUGUAGGCGGCUUUGCAAGUCCGUUGUGAAAACUCGAGGCUCAACCUCGAGACGCCGGUGGAAACUGCAAAGCUAGAGUCCGGAAGAGGAGAGUGGAAUUCCUGGUGUAGCGGUGAAAUGCGCAGAUAUCAGGAGGAACACCGGUGGCGAAGGCGGCGACCUGGGCCGAUACUGACACUGAGGUGCGAAAGCGUGGGGAGCAAACAGG
rnacentral:rRNA from 1 species